rnacentral:rRNA from 1 species
AGAGUUUGAUCAUGGCUCAGAACGAACGCUGGCGGCGUGGAUAAGACAUGCAAGUCGAGCGACAGACCAGGAAAUGAUUACUUCGGUAUGAUUUUACUGACGAUGAGCGGCGAACGGGUGCGUAACACGUGAGAAAUCUGCCCUUAAGCCCGGGAUAGCCCUACGAAAGUAGGAUUAAUACCGGAUAAGGCCCUGGGAUGGCAUCUUCCCUUGGCUAUAGCUCGGUCAUAGAGCGCUUUUGGAUGAUCUCGCGGUCUAUCAGCUUGUUGGUGAGGUAACGGCUCACCAAGGCUAUGACGGAUAGCUGGUCUGAGAGGAUGAUCAGCCUCACUGGAACUGAGACACGGUCCAGACACCUACGGGUGGCAGCAGUCGAGAAUCAUUCACAAUGGGCGAAAGCCUGAUGGUGCGACGCCGCGUGGGGGAAGAAGGGCUUCGGUUCGUAAACCCCUGUCAUCUGUGAGUAAGACUCCCAAUAAAAGCUUGGGAGGUUGAUAUUAGCAGAAGAGGAAGGGACGGCUAACUCUGUGCCAGCAGCCGCGGUAAUACAGAGGUCCCAAGCGUUGUUCGGAUUUACUGGGCGUAAAGGGUGCGUAGGCGGCUAGAAAAGUUUGAUGUGAAAUCUCCGGGCUUAACCCGGAAACUGCAUUGAAAACUAUCUGGCUAGAGGAUCGGAGAGGAGAUUGGAAUUCUCGGUGUAGCAGUGAAAUGCGUAGAUAUCGAGAGGAACACCAGUUGCGAAAGGCGGAUCUCUGGACGAUUUCUGACGCUGAGGCACGAAAGCUGGGGGAGCGAAGAGGAUUAGAUACCCUCGUAGUCCCAGCCGUAAACGGUGCACACUUGCUAUGGGCGGAUUCGACCCCGUCCGUGGCGAAGCUAACGCGAUAAGUGUGCCGCCUGGGGAGUACGGUCGCAAGAUUAAAACUCAAAGAAAUUGACGGGGGCCUGCACAAGCGGUGGAGUAUGUAGCUUAAUUCGAUGCAACGCGAAGAACCUUACCUGGCCUUGACAUGUAGUGGACCGGGUGCGAAAUCACCCUUUUCUUCGGAACUGCUACACAGGUGCUGCAUGGCUGUCGUCAGCUCGUGUCGUGAGAUGUUGGGUUAAGUCCCGCAACGAGCGCAACCCUCGUGUUCUGUUGCCACCCGGAUGUAAAUCCGGAGCACUCUGGACAGACUGCCUGGUUUCAACUAGGAGGAAGGUGGGGAUGACGUCAAGUCAGUAUGGCCCUUACGGCCAGGGCUGCACACGUACUACAAUGCCUGAUAUAAUGGGAAGCAAGACCGCGAGGUGGAGCAAAUCCUCAAAAUCAGGCCCAGUUCAGAUUGUAGGCUGCAACUCGCCUACAUGAAGGAGGAAUCGCUAGUAAUGCCGUAUCAGCUACGACGGCGUGAAUACGUUCCCAGGCCUUGUACACACCGCCCGUCACAUCAUGAAAGUCGAUUGUACCCGAAGUCGCUGAGUUAACCGCAAGGAGACAGGCGCCGAAGGUAUGGUUGGUAAUUGGGAUGAAGUCGUAACAAGGUAACC